GUCGCCAUCGUCUAUUCGGUCAGGACAGCGGCCUCUCAAGCCGCAAAGACGGGUUCAAGCCCCGUUGGCGACGCCA
rnacentral:tRNA from 1 species